rnacentral:rRNA from 1 species
UACGAAGGACCCGAGCGUUAUCCGGAUUUAUUGGGGUUUAAAGGGUGCGUAGGCGGAUUUACAAGUCAGUGGUGAAAUCUCCCAGCUCAACUGGGAAACUGCCAUUGAAACUGUUUAUCUUGAGUACAUUUGAGGCGGGCGGAAUGUGUCAUGUAGAGGUGAAAUUCUUAGAUAUGACACAGAACACCAAUUGCGAAAGCAGCUCGCUAAACUGUAACUGACGCUGAGGCACGAAAGCGUGGGGAUCAAACAGG